rnacentral:rRNA from 1 species
GACGAACGCUGGCGGCGUGCCUAAUACAUGCAAGUCGAACGCAGUGGGGACGGGUGAGUAACCCGUGGGUAACCUCCCAUCCGAGGGGAUAACACUUGGAAACAGGUGCUAAACCGAUACUGAUGGAUGGACCCGCGGUGCAUUAGCUAGGUGGUGAGGUAACGGCUCACCAAGGCCACGAUGCAUAGCCGACCUGAGAGGAUGAUCAGCCACACUGUAACUGAUACACGGUCCAGACUCCUACGGGAGGCAGUAGUGGGGAAUAUUGGACAAUGGACGAAAGCCUGAGCCAGCCACGCCGCGUGUGUGAAGAAGGUUUUCGGGUUGUAAAGCACUGUCAGUGGGGAGGCGGUACCUACACAGAAAGCAACGGCUAACUACGUGCCAGCAGCCGCGGUAAUUC